rnacentral:sRNA from 1 species
ACCCUACUUCUUUCCGGAGAAAUUCGCAU